UACGUAGGGGGCAAGCGUUAUCCGGAUUUACUGGGUGUAAAGGGAGCGUAGACGGCGAAGCAAGUCUGAAGUGAAAACCCAGGGCUCAACCCUGGGACUGCUUUGGAAACUGUUUUGCUAGAGUGUCGGAGAGGUAAGUGGAAUUCCUAGUGUAGCGGUGAAAUGCGUAGAUAUUAGGAGGAACACCAGUGGCGAAGGCGGCUUACUGGACGAUAACUGACGUUGAGGCUCGAAAGCGUGGGGAGCAAACAGG
rnacentral:rRNA from 3 species